UUCACGACGCGAUCUACUCUUGAUAACCAAGUAUGAAUGCUAGACUCGUGGUCGUAGUGAUGUUUACCUGCCGAGGUCAUCGGAACGAUGGAUUUGUACACAUAAUUUUUGCGACGCAAUGCACGGUAUGCACAUACACGGGGUCGACACCACUUGACGCACGGCUCCCUAGUCUUAGCUUGCGGCCGAGGAAACGAUUCACUUCGCGACGCAAUUGUUUCUUCACGAGAGACGAACGCGAACUCUCCCGAUGAGCGUGAUAAUGCCAUGUGCAGGCUACUAUCGAGACGAUCGAAAGCGAACUGAUUCUCAUAGAGGAUUUUGUACAGCGCGACGCGACGCCUCGCGCGGGAUUCAUAACCCAUAACCUUCGAGAACCCGCGGCAUCAUAACAACACACUCCGACGUACGUCGUGCGUCUAAUCAAGUUUGAUUUACACUGGUCACUUUCUUGGCACUUUCGACACUUGAUUAAUCGCGAUUUGGUUUAUUUUCGGCGCGAAGUGAAGCCAAACGACUGUCAAUUCCGCGGACGCGAUCACAUCGACUACGCGAUCGCGGGUGGAAAGGAGGUGGGAGAGAGGGAGGGGGAGUAGGUGAGACGCCGCCCACGGGGUCUACAUUACUUAACGCAAAAAUUCAUGGGCUAUAGCCUACAACCCAGCGACCCCCCCCGCGUUCCCACUUUCCGUGAUUAGUUCCCGCGUUUAUCCUGCAUUUAUGUUGAUCGGUUACGAGCGAUACGGGUAACGUAACGCGUCUGGAAGAUUCCUGCGCUUCAAAUUCGUCGUGUACGCCUCAGAAAGUUUACGAGUGACUACUAAGGAAGGACAAUUAUCCGCACAAGCUCGCGUAAUCGCCGACUAUGAAAAAUGCGCUUGCCGUCUGCAGGUGUUCGUCGCGGUUUGAAGGAUGAAGACCAUGAGAGAUGUCCGAGCGAUUCUUGGAUGACUAUGAUACGAAUUGUGCGCUAAAUCAUACACCAAACAUGCGUCCAAGCAGCCAUUACCAUUCGACCGUUGUAGUUCGUGUGCCACGGUAUAACGAAUCAUCGGACUCUGACGCCUGCCAAUGACGGAAUGAAUUAUGCAGUCCAGACUUCAGUUCGUUCGACAGAUUAUGGUGAGCAGAGGAUGCAUGGUGACACGCGGUUGAUAUUCCAGGGUGAGAAUUGACGAGAGGAAUCCAACGUCUAUCGUCGCCGAAUUAAUAAACGAACCGCAGCCGGUUCGUCGCGUCGCGCGUUUGUCUCGGGAGUGCCGUACAAAUACUGGACUUAUAUAAACAUUUUUCAUAACUCCCAUUUGAUAGAAUCCUAAUUCGAGGGCCGGGAAUCGUACCCCCGCUGCUUGGCAGUGAAUAUCUUCACUGGGGCGUUGCGCAUGGUGGGUGUGCGCGCCGCACCGCGACGUUCCAUGCCGAGUGCCCGUGCACGAGGUAAUGCCGGGCCGCAUGUACGACAUGUUCGUGUGCAUGUUGCGCGGCUGUCUGGUUGUGUGAGUUUAUACGCUCUGUCUCCGGCGAUCGGUUCGGUCCUAAACGGUUAGAGUUCGGAUCGGUUGCCUUGGAUUCGCGUGUUUCUCUUGCUUUCGUCCACCAUCCUAAGGCUUUCUUAGAUCCUUGAUAACCUUUUUGGAUUCUUUGGAUCUAGGGUUCGAGCUAGGUGAAUCACGUUUAAUCUGACUUGGUCAGAACUUGGCCUUGUAGGUUAAGCUUGUGACGAGAGGCUGGCUCUCAUUUCCUGAUUCGUCUAAAAUGCUAGACAUCGGCAAUGAGUACCUUCUUGUCUCGUCCUGCCGGAGUGUCUUGUCGACGCCGCUUGGAUAUAAGAUCCAGUGGGACUGAUCUUGAUGAUCCGUUGGCUGGGCGUAUGAACGAGUCAAUUUUAGACGUGAUGUUUGUGAGACAAGGGGCGUAGGAAUUCAAUACCAUUGAUUUCGUUUUCUUCCGCGUGGGGCUUACCCUUGUUCGGGGGCGGGUACGCGUGCGUUCUACUUGCCGACUCGGGGUACUGAAUCCACGGGAAUCCCUCUGAAUGGGAACUCAUAUCAUGGAUUUUAUAAACCUGAAGUGCCGCAGUAUCGUGCGAGAAACUUUAUAAAUGGUUAGUCCACGCGCGCAAAUUUAGUGUAUUAUUCGCGAGUGUUUCGCGUGUGCAACGAAAAGAAAAGACUUGACAACCUGGAGGACUGAGAGGUGGAGGAGGCCUGGGAGAGACAUCGGGCCCCAACCUUGGGUAAUCAUCAUAGCUUCGUGGCUGAUUAACUCCGCUCAUUGUGCAUCGGAUCGGUGAGUCAGAAAUCAAUUUUUGUAUUAUAUUUUAAUGUUUUCUGAAUGGCCUGCGCCAGGAUUAAUUAUACUAUUAAUACUUCAAUACACAUACGCCUGUUUUGUAGCUGCAAUUUUUUAAAUUUAUUAAUGAAAUUUUAAAUUUACCGAGAAAUAUGUUUUUAUAUCACAGUUUUAAUUAUUGAUAUUUAAUCCUCAGGAGAACUUUUAAUUCUGCUUAUUUAUUGAACAAUUCUAAUGAAUAAUCAUUCAAAUAUUAUUAUUACCAUACCAAAGUGGCGUAUCCAUAAUUGAACGGUAUUCAUAUAACAUUGCACGGAUUGCCCGUGAAAAUGCACAACGGUAUCAGCGAGAGAGUUAAAGCGACGUUCUAAAGAGGUCAGUCGUGAAUUAUGAAUAACUCUUUCGCGGCAUUUGAACUGCUGCAUCGCACACAAUCGCGUGCCAGGUAUGCGCGUUAUUGUCUUUUUGGAAAUACCUCGGAUAGUGAAUACGGGGACAGAGGUCGUUUGCUCGAUGCCGCUUUGUCGUGCUAAUUCCUUCGCUAUCCAUGCAUAAGCGAGAGUGUGUAUGUACACGCGGAGAGGUCUGGAUACUUGCUAACGAGGUCAGUCCCACGACUCGUGGAUUAUUAUUGCAACGCACCUGCGCGUUCGUGUCAUAUGCCCGUGACGUAUGCGAGACCUUGAGGACGAGUGAGAACAUGCAUACAUCUUUCACGUCUGAAAAAAAAACAACGCAUCCCGCGGAUUGCGCGUCCUGAGCAAAAUCGACGUGGCUGUUAACCCACAUUUUCAAGUACUGUCACGCCAAACUACCGAUUUAUUGAAAUCUUGGCUUUUAUGUAAAUGGAAGCUCAACCGAUGACACGUCAAUUAUAUGGACGAUAACGAGGCUCGACUGACGCGAUUCUCAUAACGUGCAUUUCCAAAAUUUAGUUCUCAGUGUCGCGUGACGCAAAACCAACGCGUUUCUUUUCUCAAAUAUUACGUAACAACGUAAAGAACUAGAAAUAAGCAAAGCUUGUGAAAUUAAAUGCUUGUAAAUGUCUUUAUGUCGUUGAUAUAACAUGGUGCGCAGAUUGUUAUAUGCACAAUAUUUAAAAUUGGAUCUUGAUCUCUGAAAUAUUUAGCAUAUCUCGAUCUUAUCUAAUUUACGAUAAUUUCUGCUUUUUAAUAGUACAAUUAAUGUAGUCAUAGCACGAAGUCUACAUAUUAUGCGAUGUAAUCGUGUUUCCAAGGGUUAAUGCGAUUAAGCCCAAAGCCGCAAGGUCAUUGAACUCUGAAAUAAUAGUCGCAGUAAACAUCGAAGUUUCAUUGGCGAUCAAACUUAUCGCG